UUGAUUUAUCUUCAAUCAAAUUUAUCCAAUUUUGACCAAAUUUAUAGAAAAAUAUAACAAUAUCUAUACUGCCAAAUAUGUGCACUAUCAAAAUAUAUUCCAUGAUGGAUUCAAUGAAACAAAUUUGGUAUUAUAGGUGUUGUUAUAUUUUUCUAUAAACUUGGUCAAAGUUGAAUAAGUUUGACUUAGGACAAAUCAAA
rnacentral:pre_miRNA from 1 species